rnacentral:rRNA from 1 species
AGCGAACGCUGGCGGCAGGCCUAACACAUGCAAGUCGAGCGAACUCUUCGGAGUUAGUGGCGGACGGGUGAGUAACACGUGGGAACGUGCCUUUUGGUUCGGAAUAACUCAGGGAAACUUGUGCUAAUACCGAAUGUGCCCUUGGGGGAAAGAUUUAUCGCCAUUAGAGCGGCCCGCGUCUGAUUAGCUAGUUGGUGAGG